GGAAUAUUGGGCAAUGGGCGAAAGCCUGACCCAGCAACGCCGCGUGAGUGAAGAAGGCCUUCGGGUUGUAAAGCUCUGUUAUAGGGGACGAAGGACGUGACGGUACCCUAUAAGGAAGCCCCGGCUAACUACGUGCCAGCAGCCGCGGUAAUACGUAGGGGGCGAGCGUUGUCCGGAAUGACUGGGCGUAAAGGGCGUGUAGGCGGCUGAUUAAGUCUGGAGUGAAAGUCCUGCAUUCAAUGUGGGAAUUGCUUUGGAGACUGGUCGGCUUGAGUGCGGCAGAGGUAAGUGGAAUUCCCAGUGUAGCGGUGAAAUGCGUAGAGAUUGGGAGGAACACCAGUGGCGAAGGCGACUUACUGGGCCGUAACUGACGCUGAGGCGCGAAAGCGUGGGGAGCGAACA
rnacentral:rRNA from 1 species